AACUUUAGUGUGGGCCCAGCAUGGCCAGAUGGAUAAGGCGCUUGAUCGCAAUCUGAGGGUCGCGGGUUCGAAUCCCCGUCCCACCAAACAUGUUCGCCAUUUCAGCAGUGAGGGCGUUAUGAUGUUGUGGUCAAUCCCUCUAUUCGUUGGUAAAA